rnacentral:tRNA from 1 species
ACCUGGUUGGCUCAGUCGAAGAGCAUGAGACUCUUGAUCUCAGGGUUGUAAGUUCUAGCCCCACAUUGGGUA